rnacentral:rRNA from 1 species
AGCAGCCGCGGUAAUUCCAGCUCCAAUAGCGUAUAUUAAAGUUGUUGCAGUUAAAAAGCUCGUAGUUGAAUUUCGGGGUUAGCAGGUCGGUCGUGCCAUCGGUAUGAACUGGUCUCGCUGAUCCCUCCCUCUUGACGAACUGUGAUGCCAUUAAUUUGGUGUCGCAGGGAGUCAGGACUGUUACUUUGAAAAAAUUAGAGUGUUUAAAGCAGGCUCACGCUUGAAUACAUUAGCAUGGAAUAAUGAAAUAGGACGUUUGAUCCUAUUUUGUUGGCUUCUAGGAUUGACGUAAUGAUUAAUAGGGAUAGUUGGGGGCAUUAGUAUUCAAUUGUCAGAGGUGAAAUUCUUGGAUUUAUUGAAGACUAACUACUGCGAAAGCAUUUGCCAAGGAUGUUUUCAUUAAUCAAGAACGAAAGUUAGGGGAUCGAAGACGAUCAGAUACCGUCGUAGUCUUAACCAUAAACUAUGCCGACUAGGGAUCGGAUGAUGUUAAUUUUUUAAUGACUCAUUCGGUGCCUUA